rnacentral:lncRNA from 10 species
AUUUGAUUCAGGUUAAAUAUUAUUGUCAGUAAUACUUCAUACAUUGUUUUUGGCUUUUCUUGUGUAUUUGUUUGCAAAAAAAUGCCAUAGACAAAACAGCUGAUAACUAAUGUGAAUUAUUAGUCAGUAGUUUAUUGGUUAAUGUUUUUCUUUUUUCUUUCCCUUUGAGGCAGUCUCCUGUCUCAGCCUCCUGAAUAGCUGGGAUUACAGGCGUGUGCCACCACACCUGGCUAAUUUUUGUAUUUUUUUUUUUUAGUAGAGACGGGGUUUCACCACAUCUCUGGUCAUGGUCAUGGCCAGGCUGGUUUUGAACUCCUGACCUCAAGUGAUCCACCCACCUCGGCCUCCCAAAGUGCUGGGAUUACAGGCGUGAGCCACUGCACCGGUCCUGGCUAAGGUUUUUCUAUUUAAACAUAUUACAAUCAUAACCUUUGGCUUUUGAGAUACAGAGCUACUGUAACUUUUAAGUUCAACCAUAAAUAAGAUUUUUGAGGAAGAACAUAGAAAUAGGUUUCCAUUUUGUCACUUUGAGGCAUUGCCCUCUGCAAAAAUGAUUUGAAAGUUGAAGAAGCUAGAAGAGUUUAUAUGUAGCAAAAGUAACCUGUAGAGGAAUUGUAAAGGGGCCACAACAAGAA